rnacentral:rRNA from 1 species
GUUGAACGCUGGCGGCAGGGCCUAACACAUGCAAGUCGAGCGGAAACGAUCCUAGCUUGCUAGGAGGCGUCGAGCGGCGGACGGGUGAGUAACGCGUGAGAAUCUACCCAUGAUGGGGGACAACCCGGGGAAACUCGGGCUAAUACCGCAUACGCCCUACGGGGUAAAGCAGGGGACCUUCGGGCCUUGCGCUGAUGGAUGAGCUCGCGUCGGAUUAGCUUGUUGGUGAGGUAAAGGCUCACCAAGGCGACGAUCCGUAGCUGGUCUGAGAGGAUGAUCAGCCACACCGGGACUGAGACACGGCCCGGACUCCUACGGGAGGCAGCAGUGGGGAAUCUUGGACAAUGGGGGCAACCCUGAUCCAGCCAUGCCGCGUGUGUGAAGAAGGCCUUCGGGUUGUAAAGCACUUUCAGCAGGGAGGAAGGCUUACCCCUAAUACGGGUGAGUACUUGACGUUACCUGCAGAAGAAGCACCGGCUAAUUUCGUG